GAAGGGCUGAAGGGAACAGCCAGUCAGAGCCAAGCAGGCCCAUUUAAAAAGGGAGCUGCAGGGCAGAGGAAGGCAGUUCUCUGCUAGGAGCCCAGGGAGGAAGGACUGUGUCUCUGGAGGGCUGAGACAACUGCAAGCACCCUGGACAGAGCUGUGCUGCUAGAAGGGACCGGGGGAGCGAGAGACAGCUCCUGGCUGGCCACUGGGGUUUGCAGGCUGAGGCAAUGGCAAAGAAGAUGCUGGGGCCAUGAAGAAGUGGCCAGACAGUUCGCUGCAGUUGCCACUAAGGGAAGUGACUGAACAGCAGACUGCAGGUCACCCAGAAUUGCAGCAUAGCCAGAAGGCUGUGUUGCUGAAGAGGAUGUCAUGGUCCUUGAAGAGACGUGGUUCCUAGAGCAGGAGUGAUGGCAGCGAGGCACCAUCCAAAGAGGGCACAUUAACUUGCAGAGCUAAUUCCCAUGACAGCCGGCAGGAGGUGCCAGAGUGCAAAGUCUUUCCAGGCCUCUCACCACUUUUGCUGCCCUUUCGGCCAUACUAUGUCCUUUGUGAGAUGGAGCAACCAAAGCUGAACACAGGAUUCCAGUGCAACGUUUCCUCCUCAUUGAGCAAACCCUGGACUCCAGUGACGUGGGGGUAAAGGAGAACUGCUAAAGAGCACUGGCCACAUCCAUGUUCAGUUGCUGCUUAUAACACACCACUAUGUAACUGCAGCUGGGAGUGCCAUCCACCUGACCAGGGACCACAGAACAGCAGCAGCAGGAAUUAGGCUGCCAACCCUGAUGACAUGCAUAUAAGCAUGUUAGUUACAUGUGUCAGGAGUAUGGCCUAACUGCCUAACCAGCCACCUACUGAAAUGAUACGCUUGAAUAGCUAUGUCAUUCUCUUUGGUCAAGUCUAAAUAUUAAUGGAGGGAACAUCCCAAAUUUGGGUUCUUUUGUUUAUUUUAUUAAAAUUA